rnacentral:rRNA from 1 species
UUUUCCAAAAACAUAUUCAAUAGAAAUAAUUAUUGAUAAAACCUGCUCAAUGAACUUUUAAAUAGCCGCAAUUAUUAUUGUGCUAAGGUAGCAUAAUCAUUUGUCUUAUAAUUAAAGACUAGAAUGAAAGGUCAAACAUUUAAAUCAAUAUCUUCACUCUCAUAUUUUAAUUUAUUUUAAAUGUAAAAAAACAUUUAUUUCAAAGAAAGACGACAAGACCCUAUUGAACUUAACUUUAGUUUAACUGGGGCAGUUAAAUAAUAAAUAUUUAUUCUCUAUCUCUAAAAAUGACCUAAUCUAAUUAAUCUAAUGAUCAAGUUACCAUAGGGAUAACAGCGCAAUAUUAUUUUAUAGAUCUUAUAUAAAAUAAAGAUUACGACCUCGAUGUUGAAUUAAUUUAUCUUCUAUACGCAAAAGUAUAAACAGAAGGUCUGUUCGACCUUUAAACAAUCACAUGAUCUGAG